CACUGCAGCAGCUGUGCAGUGAGUUUGUCUUAAGUUUAUUAAUUUUCUUAACAAGUUUUUCAUAGUUUAAAUUUAGAAUUCCAUUUUUAGAGUAUUACUUCAUAUUUAGUGAAAGAGCCUACAGUUAACUUUCACCUCAUAAAAGUGAAAGAGCCUACUUAUGUGUUGCAUUAAGUAGCCUCCUUCCCACCACCAGAGUGACCUUGUGCACUUCCCAUGUGCAUACAGAGACCUUGUGUGGGUACAAGUACCACAUAAUCUUGCCACAUAAACAAUGGGCAGCCAUAUUUACUGACCAUGUGAUUUCAGAGACAAGUGUUUUCAUACUCAUUGCGAUUUAGUUCUUCAAGUUUCAUCACUUUAUUCACUCUUUGUGGACCUUGAAAGACCCCAUUUUGAUUGUUAUCUCAAUCUACUCAAUCUACUAUCAGCAAUCACCACCAUGUUGUCAAGUGGCUUCAUUGUGUUUUGUGUGUGGUUCCUGGAUUGAUUGCGAAUACCAGUCACUUGGGAGUCCUUUUCUCAUAAGUUUGAGAACUAGUAGUCCGAAACUCCUCUGGGCACAAGUGAGCCCCGAGGCAGC